UUAGUUUUUCGGGGAAGAAUUGGAAGCUCCUGUUAAUGUGUGCUAAUGUGUAUUACGUGUAUUUUAAAGCAGUUAAGAUAUGAAAUAUUGUGUUCGCCAUAACAUUUCGUUGUUAAAAGUGCAAUAAAACGCUCAGCAUAAAAGAAAUCACGAAAAGAGUGGAAAUCCUGAAAAGGAUUUGCAAAAUAGAAAUUAUUUCGUCUCCUUAAAAAAUGAAACUAUAAAAAGUGCGAAAAAGUUCUCCUCUAAAACAAAGCCGUAAAAUGUGUGCAAAAGUUUCAAGUAGGUAGUCUUCGAAAGCAAUAAAGCUGGAAAAGUGUGGAAAGUGAAAAGCAUAAAAAUUAAAACGUAGCUCUAACACUCAAAAAUUACCGCAACUCGGAAAGUUCACCGGUUGAAAAAAGGAGUGUGCAUCUUCCUUGCGGAAUUGCUUAGUAAAAGGAACGGAAGAAAACGCGUUACUAUUUGCUCGCUGCGCAAGUGUCUUAAAGUGUGCAUGGAUUAUGUCAAAAUUGUCGUCUUUUCGCACUAAUCUUGUUAUAAUCUUCAACGCUUGGAAAUUUCUUUUAGUUUGCUUCAGGUGGAUCACUGAUGACUGGAGUCCAUGCAGCCGUCUCUGUUGACCUAGCUACUGUGAGCGUAUGGUGGUGUGCGCAAAGGAGAAUAAUGGCAUCAAGAUAACGGUACUGGAUGUGACGUGUUGAGCGCCAAAGCCAAGCACACAGGAGCCCUGCACGAUUGAGAAGUGCCCAAUAUGAGAGGUGGAGAAGUAGACUGGUCAAAAACUCUUUUCUCCGUAAGGCAUUUGAAUACUUAAAUAUGCUUCAACCAUGUAACUUCUGCCACAACCUAACUAUUCCGAUAUGCCCUCCAGCUUGCACACUCAUAUGUUUUCGAAUGUAUGUUUGCCUUGGGCGACAGGCAUAGCGCUCGGUAACCUGUGGGCAGGGCUUGCAGAUACGUGGAGUUGAAUGUAAAUCGGCCGACGGUACACACAGCGCAAAGUGCGACCCACUUACGAAGCACAUAGUGGCGCAGCAGUGCUUGACGGGGGUCUCAUGUGAUGGUGAUGGCGGUACGAUUAUACUUGGCAGCAGCGGGCCACUC